CCUACGGGAGACUGCAGUGGGGAAUAUUGCACAAUGGGGGAAACCCUGAUGCAGCGACGCCGCGUGAGUGAAGAAGUAUCUCGGUACGUAAAGCUCUAUCAGCAGAGAAGAAAAUGACGGUACCUGACCAAGAAGCCCCGGCCAAUUACGUGCCAGCACCCGCGGUAAUACGGAGGGGGCAAGCGUUAUCCGGAUUUACUGGGUGUAAAGGGAGCGUAGACGGCAGCGCAAGACUGGAGUGAAAUGCCGGGGCCCAACCCCGGAACUGCAUUGGAAACUGUGCAGCUCGAGUGCAGUAGAGGUAAGCGGAAUUCCUAGUGUAGCGGUGAAAUGCGUAGAUAUUAGGAGGAACAGCAGUGGCGAAGGCGGCUUACUGGACUGUAACUGACGUUGAGGCUCGAAAGCGUGGGGAGCAAACAGGAUUAGAUACCCUAGUAGUC
rnacentral:rRNA from 1 species